rnacentral:rRNA from 1 species
AUUGAACGCUGGCGGCAGGCCUAACACAUGCAAGUCGAGCGGAUAGACGGAGCUUGCUCCUGGAUUCCGCGGCGGACGGGUGGGUAAUGCCUAGGAAUCUGCCUGGUAUUGGGGGAUAACGUCCGUAAACGGGCGCUAAUACCGCAUACGACCUGAUGUUGAACGGGGUGGUUCUUCGGACCUCACGCUAUCAGAUGAGCCUAGGUCGGAUUAGCUAGUUGGUGGGGUAAAGGCCUACCAAGGCGACGAUCCGUAACAGGUCUGAGAGGAUGAUCAGCCACACUGGAACUGAGACACGGUCCAGACUCCUACGGGAGGCAGCAGUGGGGAAUAUUGGACAAUGGGCGAAAGCCUGACGCAGCCACGCCGCGUGUGUGAAGAAGGUCUUCGGAUUGUAAAGCACUUUAAGUUGGGAGGAAGAGCUGUAAGUUAAAACCUUGCUGUUUUGACGGUACCUACAGAAAAAGCAACGGCUAACUUCGUG